rnacentral:rRNA from 1 species
GACGAACGCUGGCGGCGUGCUUAACACAUGCAAGUCGAACGGAAAGGCCCUGCUUUUGUGGGGUGCUCGAGUGGCGAACGGGUGAGUAACACGUGAGUAACCUGCCCUUGACUUUGGGAUAACUUCAGGAAACUGGGGCUAAUACCGGAUAGGAGCUCCUGCUGCAUGGUGGGGGUUGGAAAGUUUCGGCGGUUGGGGAUGGACUCGCGGCUUAUCAGCUUGUUGGUGGGGUAGUGGCUUACCAAGGCUUUGACGGGUAGCCGGCCUGAGAGGGUGGCCGGCCACAUUGGGACUGAGAUACGGCCCAGACUCCUACGGGAGGCAGCAGUGGGGAAUAUUGCACAAUGGGCGGAAGCCUGAUGCAGCAACGCCGCGUGCGGGAUGACGGCCUUCGGGUUGUAAACCGCUUUCGCCUGUGACGAAGCGUGAGUGACGGUAAUGGGUAAAGAAGCACCGGCUAACUACGUGCCAGCAGCCGCGGUGAUACGUAGGGUGCGAGCGUUGUCCGGAUUUAUUGGGCGUAAAGGGCUCGUAGGUGGUUGAUCGCGUCGGAAGUGUAAUCUUGGGGCUUAACCCUGAGCGUGCUUUCGAUACGGGUUGACUUGAGGAAGGUAGGGGAGAAUGGAAUUCCUGGUGGAGCGGUGGAAUGCGCAGAUAUCAGGAGGAACACCAGUGGCGAAGGCGGUUCUCUGGGCCUUUUCCUGACGCUGAGGAGCGAAAGCGUGGGGAGCGAACAGGCUUAGAUACCCUGGUAGUCCACGCUGUAAACGGUGGGUACUAGGUGUGGGGUCCAUUCCACGGGUUCCGUGCCGUAGCUAACGCUUUAAGUACCCCGCCUGGGGAGUACGGCCGCAAGGCUAAAACUCAAAGGAAUUGACGGGGCCCCGCACAAGCGGCGGAGCAUGCGGAUUAAUUCGAUGCAACGCGUAGAACCUUACCUGGGUUUGACAUGGAUCGGGAGUGCUCAGAGAUGGGUGUGCCUCUUUUGGGGUCGGUUCACAGGUGGUGCAUGCCUGUCGUCAGCUCGUGUCGUGAGAUGUUGGGUUAAGUCCCGCAACGAGCGCAACCCUUGUUCACUGUUGCCAGCACGUUAUGGUGGGGACUCAGUGGAGACCGCCGGGGUCAACUCGGAGGAAGGUGGGGAUGACGUCAAGUCCUCAUGCCCCUUAUGUCCAGGGCUUCACGCAUGCUACAAUGGCUGGUACAGAGAGUGGCGAGCCUGUGAGGGUGAGCGAAUCUCGGAAAGCCGGUCUCAGUUCGGAUUGGGGUCUGCAACUCGACCUCAUGAAGUCGGAGUCGCUAGUAAUCGCAGAUCAGCAACGCUGCGGUGAAUACGUUCCCGGG